rnacentral:rRNA from 1 species
UACGUAGGUGGCAAGCGUUGUCCGGAUUUAUUGGGCUUAAAGGGUGCGUAGGCGGCCCGGUAAGUCAGUGGUGAAAGCCUCCAGCUCAACUGGAGAACUGCCAUUGAUACUGCCGGGCUUGAGUACAGACGAGGUUGGCGGAAUUGAUUGUGUAGCGGUGAAAUGCAUAGAUACAAUCAAGAACUCCGAUUGCGUAGGCAGCUAACUAGGCUGUAACUGACGCUGAGGCACGAAAGCGUGGGGAGCGAACAGG